UCCGGUUUGUCACCGGCGGUCUCCUUAGAGUUCCCACCAUUACGUGCUGGCAACUAAGGACAAGGGUUGCGCUCGUUGCGGGACUUAAUCCAACAUCUCACGACACGAGCUGACGACAGCCAUGCAGCACCUCUGCUAGCUCCUGACUUUACAGGUCAUCCCGACUUUCAUCAGGAUUACUUCUAGUGGUUCAAGCCCAGGUAAGGUUCUUCGCGUUGCGUCGAAUUAAACCACAUGCUCCACCGCUUGUGCGGGCCCCCGUCAAUUCCUUUGAGUUUCAGCCUUGCGGCCGUACUCCCCAGGCGGGGCACUUAUCGCGUUAGUUGCGGCACCGAAGGGGUCGCUCCCCCCGGCACCUAGUGCCCAUCGUUUACGGCGUGGACUAC
rnacentral:misc_RNA from 1 species